GCUGAACAGCUAGCUCUAAUACUAAAAAUUAAAUUAACAAUAUUCUCAACUUUAUUAUACUCCAAAAAUAAAAUUAAAUCAUUCUUCUGCCUUAGUACGGGUGACGGAAAAGGCCCUUAUGAAGCUAUAGAAAAAGUACCGCAAGGGAAAGCUGAAAGAGAAAUGAAACAACUCAUUUAAGCCCUAAAAAGCAGAGACUAAACCUCGUACCUUUUGCAUCAUGCUUUAGCCAGUAUAAUUGAGCAAAGAGAACUUUAGUUCAAAACCCCGAAACCAAGUGAGCUACCCCGGGACAGCCUAUUAUAGGGCCAACCCGUCUCUGUGGCAAAAGAGUGGGAAGAUCUCCGGGUAGAAGUGACAAACUUACCGAACUUGGUGAUAGCUGGUUGCCUAGGAAAUGGAUAGAAGUUCAGCCCCGCACUCCUCAGCCCACCCAAAAUAACUUAAAUUAUGGACUAGAGAAAUAUGCUGGAGUUAGUCAAAGGGGGUACAGCCCCUUUGAAUCAGGACACAACCUGCCCAGGAGGUUAAGGAUCAUACUUAAAAAGAUUACUGCUUAAGUGGGCCUAAAAGCAGCCACCUAAACAGAAAGCGUUAAAGCUCAGGCAGAUCUAUUAAUCUAUUAUAAGGAUAUUAUUAUCCAAAACCCCUUAUUAUACUAGGCCAUUUCAUGCUAACAUGAAAGAGACCCUGCUAAAAUGAGUAAUAAGAAGGCACCCCCUUCUCCCCGGCCCAUGUGUAAGUUAGAUCGGACUAACCACUAAUAAUUAACGAACCCAAUACAAGAGGGAACUGUGAUACAAAUAAAAAACAAGAAAAAUUCACAUACUUAAUCGUUUACCCUACACAGGCGUGCCACAAGGAAAGACUAAUAAAAAAGGAAGGAACUCGGCAAACACAAGCCUCGCCUGUUUACCAAAAACAUCGCCUCCUGCUAAAUCUUCGAAGUAUAGGAGGUCCUGCCUGCCCAGUGACUUCUUGUUAAAUGGCCGCGGUAUUUUGACCGUGCUAAGGUAGCGCAAUCACUUGUCUUUUAAAUGAAGACCCGUAUGAAUGGUAAAACGAGGGCUUAACUGUCUCCCUUCUUUGGUCAAUGAAAUUGAUCUGCCCGUGCAGAAGCGGACAUAUUAAUACAAGACGAGAAGACCCUUUGGAGCUUAAGACAAAAAGCCAACUGUAUAAAAACCCAUAUAAAAUGAAGUUUAACAAAACAGCCAUUUGGCCCACGUCUUCGGUUGGGGCGACCACGGAGUAAAACAAAACCUCCAUACAGAAUGGGAUUCCCUCUCAAACCAAGAGAUACAUCUCUAAGUCGCAGAACAUCUGACUAUAAGAUCCGGCUUAUAAAGCCGAUCAACGGACCAAGUUACCCUAGGGAUAACAGCGCAAUCCCCUUCAAGAGUCCCUAUCGACAAGGGGGUUUACGACCUCGAUGUUGGAUCAGGACAUCCUAAUGGUGCAGCCGCUAUUAAGGGUUCGUUUGUUCAACGAUUAAAGUCCUACGUGAUCUGAGUUCAGACCGGAGCAAUCCAGGUCAGUUUCUAUCUGUAACGCCAUCCUUCCUAGUACGAAAGGACCGGAAGAAUAAGGCCCCUGUUUAAAACACGCCCUAUUCUAAUUUAAUGAAAUCAACUAAAUUAAAUAAUAGAAGGCAAUCCCAGACCCUAGUUAAGGGAU
rnacentral:rRNA from 1 species